rnacentral:misc_RNA from 1 species
AUGAAGAUUUGUGAAGAUGGAAAUUUUGAGAGAAAAAGAGAGAGAAGUGCAGAAAUUAUAAACAAAAUAAGCAAUAAAAAGAAUCCCUAUCUGCCCAUGUGGGUAACAGCCGUUACCCAUUAAGCCUAAAGCAUCAUAGAGAACAGCUGUAUUAAUAAUGUUUAACUGGAUGUUCUAUUUCCUCCACCUUCCCCUUUCUAACACAUUCCACGAAACCAAACAAGUACAAGAUGACUAGUCUAGAAUCAAGAAGACUUCCAAAUCAUACCAACUUGGCGUGCAUCAUUUGUCAAAUAUUAAAUUGAAUUAUAUGAAAGUGCAUAGAAGAGACCACAAGAGACAAAAAGCGUCAUAGUAUGACCACAAGAAGUGCUAGUUUCCAAGAAACAUGAAACAGACAGCAAUUCCUGUUAGAACGAGGCAGGAAAAGAUCAGGAAAUGCCACUCUGCAGCUACUAAAGUCAGAAAGAUUCUACAAGGCAAGAAACUGAUAUAAAUUAUAAAACAGCCCUUGAACUCUGAAUCAGAGACAAG